UCUGUACCACAAAAAGUCAAGGUGAAGCAGCAAGUGAUGAUGUAGAAGCCACAGCUAGUUAUCCGGAAGAUCCAGCUAAGAUCAUUAAUAAAAGUCACUGCACUAAACAGUA